AUGAACGCUAGCGGCAGGCCUAAUACAUGCAAGUCAAGGGGCCCAGCAAUGGGCACCGGCGCACGGGUGCGUAACGCGUACAUAAACUACCCUGAAGAGGGGGAUAGCAUCGGGAAACUGGUGGUAAUACCCCAUGAGCUUACGAAGUGGCAUUACUUUGUAAGGAAAGUUCAAGCGCUUUGGGAUGGAUGUGCGUCCGAUUAGCUAGUUGGCGGGGUAACGGCCCACCAAGGCGACGAUCGGUAGGGGGUGUGAGAGCAUGACCCCCCACACGGGUACUGAGACACGGACCCGACUCCUACGGGAGGCAGCAGUAAGGAAUAUUGGACAAUGGAGGGAACUCUGAUCCAGCCAUGCCGCGUGAAGGAUGAAGGCGCUCAGCGUUGUAAACUUCUUUUGAAUGGGAACAAAUGACGGGAUUCAUCUCGUUUUGAGGGUACCAUUAGAAUAAGCACCGGCUAACUCCGUGCCAGCAGCCGCGGUAAUACGGAGGGUGCAAGCGUUAUCCGGAAUCACUGGGUUUAAAGGGUGCGUACGCGGCUAUGUAAGUCAGUUGUGAAAUACCUCGGCUUAACCGAAGGAAGUGCGAUUGAUACUGCGUAGCUUGAAUCAGGUUGAGGAAGGCGGAAUGUGACCUGUAGCGGUGAGAUGCUUAA
rnacentral:rRNA from 1 species